rnacentral:lncRNA from 1 species
ACACAUGGCGCUACAUAGAAAGAAUGCCCUGACGUGAAGGUGACAGACAGCUCGGCAGUUUCUUAAUACCCUGAACUUGAGUGGGGCCUGUGCUGGAGAAAAUAUACGGUGCUUCUUAAAAACAAAAGCUAGCAGCCUGCGAGUAGGGCUGUGCCUGCGAGUUCCUGGGAGCAGGAGGGAGCUGUUCCUCUGCCCCUGGCUCCAGUUUCACCCAAGUCACUUCACAGCAGUUGGAAGGAGGUCACCAAUUGUGAGUGUAGGGAGGGGGCGGGGAGGGAGAGGAAGUGGGAUGAAAAGGGAAGGCCCGGGUCAGCUGGGAGAGGAGCUGGCGGGCUUUCCGGCGGGCUGGCCUGAAGUGGAAGGGCCCAGGGCUGCCUGCCACCCUCGGAUGCCACGCAGGUGCUGGGAGGGCACCCGUCUGUGGGCUCAGGGACGUGUUCCCACCGACAGGCACAGAAUGGAAAGCACCUUGGGGGAGACGCCCUUCUCCCCAUCUCAGGAGGGAGGCCGGGCCUGCAGACCGCCAGCCCUUCCCCAGCGCUCACUGUGAGCUCCCUCCCCCCGACCCGCCCCCCACCCGCCCCCCACGUGCUGGGGAGCAGGUCCGUUUCCCCACCAGUUUGCCUCUGGUCUUUGUGUUUGCUCUGGGGCCAGGCGCGCCCCCUGCUGCAGGCCCGGGCUCCUGUGUGGAGUUCUCCUUUCAGAUGUUGCUAAAAUGUCUUGAAAGGCUGUGGCCACACCAACAGAGGUCGUCCGGCCUUCUUCACACGAAACGAAGCGCCCAGGUGGAAAUGCAUGUACCCGCGGCAGCUUCUCGGCAGCGGGCUUCCUGGGACGGAAGAGACAGGCUCGCCCAAGGGAGACGGAAGCAGGGGAUCUGCUAGAACUCAGCUCGCCUCCUCCUUUCUCAGCAGGGCAGAGAAUCACGGGCUUGUGCUGACGAAAGCUCCAGAAAAUGGACUCAUUUAACCUUUCCAAAGAUAUUAUCCAAGCUGCAAAAUCUUGGCAAUCCGAAGACCAUUUAAGUCGAUAUACCAAAGAGCUUUAGUCAGGAUUGAAUGCAAAAUGCCAAAAUUUCACUUUUAAAAUCAUCAUAACAUCUAAAUACAACCUAAGCACACUUGUAAACUGAUGCCGAACAGGCACUUCGAGAGCCCUCCCUGCACCCCUUCCUCGCCCCGUCCUUUGUGCAAAUGCUGUUUGCCCAGAAUUUCAGCCACUGAAAAUCCUGGGAACUUUCUCUUCCUGGCUGCCAACCUAGCAGUUUGGACUCACAGACGAGUUUUUAAAUCACUGAGGGAUUUAAGCCUGCCUGUGUCACAGAGAAGCCAACACCCCCCCAGUUGAAGGUGGCCCCAAAGAUGCGGGCCUGGGACCCAGGACUUCUGCAGGAGAGUGGACGCCUGGGUGCCCCCUGCCUUGCCCUGCACAUGAAUAACAGAGUACACCAGUCAUCAUAAGAAGAAAAAUUCACAUUUAAAGUUUGGAAAGCAACAGGACAAAGGUCUGUCUUCAGUGGUGCGUAGACAUGUUCGUGAUUGAAUUGGAAAUAGUUCUCUUUCCUUCUCUCUGACUUCCUAACUGAAAAGCUGCAGCGUGGGGAGAAAGGCUGCUCAGAAGCCUGGAGCCAGAACACGCACCCUGGCUUUGGUAGGGCCGGCUUGUUUGGUUAGAAUCGAAGGAAAAGCCUUGUUAUUUGGGAAGCUGGGCAUCCUCACCAAAUUAGGGGAUUUAAUUUGCAGAUAUCUAAGGAGUGCUUUGAAAUGAAAGAUGAACUAAAAUCUGCUCCGAGGCCCGUGAUUUUUGACCAGUGGAGAAGGAUUCUCUUGCUGCUGGACAUACGUGGAAAGCAUCGUCUGAUCUGAAACGCAAGUCCCUGCAAGACGGAGGAGAGACUGUAUAAACAUUGUAUACCAUUAUAUGAAAUCAAUUCGAUUCAGGGCUAGAAUUCAAGAAAUAAUCCAUGGGCGAGUAUGUCUGAUGGUAAACCCCAACCAUUAUACUGUUACCCUCUUGUACUUUUUAAAAUUUGUUAUUAUUUGAUAUUAUUAUCACAAAAGUCUCUGGAACAGGAUCCAUGAGCUGCUCCUUCACUGCUUAGUGUUUUCAGAAGCUGACGGAUUAUUAAGCUCCAAUUGAAUACUUGAUUUCCAAUGAUUCCAUUAAUUUUUCUGGUUUGUGAUAGGAUUUGAUUUACUUAUUUUGUACUUUAACACACCAAUAAAAAAUAGAUAUUAAG